CUCAGUAAGGUGAACCGCGAAUGGCUCAUUAAAUCACACCUAAUCUACUGGAAAGUUACUAGUUACUUGGUAUAACUGAGGUAAUUCUUGAGCUAAUACAUGCGAAAAAUCUCGACUCACGGAGAGAUGCUUUUAUUAGAUCAAAACCAAACGGCUUCGGCCGUCUCAUUGGUGACUCUGAAUAACUUUGGGCUGAUCGUAUGGCCUUGCGCCGACGACGUUUCCUUCGAAGGUGUGCCCUAUCAACUGUCGACUGUGAUAUAGACGCUCACAGUGGUUUUGACGGGUAACGGGGAAUCAGGGUUCGAUUCCGGAGAGGGAGCCUUAAAAACGGCUACCACAUCCAAGGAAGGCAGCAGGCACGCAAAUUACCCAAUGAACGAAGUUCGAGGUAGUGACGAAAAAUAACGAUACAGGACUCAUCCGAGGCCCUGUAAUUGGAAUGAGUACACUUUAAAACCGUUCCCGAGGAUCUAUUGGAGGGCAAGUCUGGUGCCAGCAGCCGCGGUAAUUCCAGCUCCAAUAGCGUAUAUUAAAGUUGUUGUGGUUAAAAAGCUCGUAGUUGGAUCUCGGCGGACAGAAGUCGGUCCGAAUGCUUUCGGUACUGGCUUGUUUGUCCGUGUGUUUUGCCAGAGGCAGGCGGGUGCUCUUCGCCGAGUGUCCGUUUGUGCUGGCAGGUUUACUUUGAAAAAAUUAGAGUGCUCAAAGCAAGCUCUCACGCUUGGAUAUUCGUGCAUGGAAUAAUAGAAUAGGAUGUCGUUUCUAUUUUGUUGGUUUUCGGAAAUCGACAUAAUGAUUAAUAGGGACAGUCGGGGGCAUUUGUAUUCAAACGACAGAGGUGAAAUUCUUGGACCGUUUGAAGACAAACUACUGCGAAAGCAUUUGCCAAGAAUGUUUUCAUUAAUCAAGAACGAAAGUUAGAGGUUCGAAGGCGAUUAGAUACCGCCCUAGUUCUAACCAUAAACGAUGCCAGCUAGCGAUCUGCAGGCGUUUUUCUUUACGACCUUGCAGGGAGCUUCCGGGAAACCAAAGCUUGUGGGUUCCAGGGGAAGUAUGGUUGCAAAGCUGAAACUUAAAGGAAUUGACGGAAGGGCACCACCAGGAGUGGAGCCUGUGGCUUAAUUUGACUCAACACGGGAAAUCUCACCAGGCCCGGACACGAGAAGGAUUGACAGAUUGAUAGCUCUUUCUUGAUUUCGUGGGUGGUGGUGCAUGGCCGUUCUUAGUUGGUGGAGUGAUUUGUCUGGUUAAUUCCGAUAACGAACGAGACUCUGUCCUGCUAACUAGUGUCUGCUUCUUGUCUGAGCAGAUUAUUCUUCUUAGAGGGACUGGUAGCUCUUAGCUACACGAGAUUGAGCAAUAACAGGUCUGUGAUGCCCUUAGAUGUUCUGGGCCGCACAC
rnacentral:rRNA from 1 species